ensembl:lncRNA
GAGCCCAGGAAGCCAAGAGGGAGAUGCUGGACUGGCUGCUGCUGGGAGGAAAGAUGCUCUGAUCUCUGUGCCUGGAGCAUCCAGCGCCUCAAUCCUCCCCCCUCGCAAUCCCUCCCGCGGAAAUGGGACACGAGCACCGAGGAACAUCAACACCAGACUUUCCGAGAUGGAGAGGCUCCUGCUCCCAUCGGUGCCGUUUGAGGAUGCCGGCAGCGUUAACCCUUUGGUUCCCGCACCCCCUCCGAGCUGCUGGAGAGGUUUUUGCACACCCCAGAAUACUCAAACUGCCUCCUCCAACCCGGCUCUGGCAGCCGACCUGGCAUUUCCCAGAUGGAGGGAUCCAUUUCCCCUUCCAGCUACCCUCAGCGAUUCCAUAAUGAGAUGAGUUUUGUUGUGACCACAACCAGUGUCAGAGGGAAUAAAAGAAAAAGUGAUCCAGAGCGGGUCCCUGGCAGUGACAAGGACACGAGGACAAACAGCUGCCAGCAAAGCCAGGGCAGCGUGGAUGGAGAGAGAGAUGGUGUGGGACGAGUGGGGCAGCACAGGGGGCUGGGGCUGAGAGCUGGGUCUGCACCCAGGGAGGGGCUGGGGGUUCCUCUUGUCCUGUGCCACGCACGGAGCAUCCCAGGAUCUCACCUGUGCACACACACCUGGGCUGCUCCUGGCCUGGGGCUCCAGCAAAGUGCCUUUGGACACAGCUCUGGGAACACCAGCGUGGCACAACAGGGGCAUUUCUGCUCAGGAAGCUCCAAACCAACUUCUGAUACAGAUGUCAGAGAGGGAAGAGAGCAGGGGAUGGCCUUGGGCAGCACUGCGGGACCACUGGCAGCCACGCAGAUCCCUGCUUGACCCAGCGUCCUGGGAAUGGGUUUGUUUGAUCUCUGCCCCACGUUUCCACACCCAGGUCCCAUCCAGCCCGAGCAUCUUCAUCCCCUUCGGCCCCAGGGCUCUGUGUGUCCCAGGAGACGCUUUCUCUGGACAAGUGGAGGAGGAGCCGCCCAAGGGUCUCCAUCCGCCUUCGGUUUUCAGGGUGCUGUCCACAAUUCCGGAAAGAUGCGGCCGAUUGAUUGUGAGAUUCCGGGACGGAAAAAGAAUAAAAACAGCCCUGAAAGGGCUGCAGAGAACACACUCAGCCCCAAAUCAGGCUGCUGGUGAGGAGGUGUUCCUGCCCUCCCACAGGAUAUCACCCCAAGGGAGUUCUCUGCCUGGCUCUUGGGGAUGGCUCCUGCUGCCAAAAAACCCCAGGAGAGCCCAAGCCACCUUCCCCACGGCUCCGUGCCUCCACCCUGCACCGCAAGGUGCACGGUUGUUAAGCGGUUCAACCUCCUUUUCAGCGCAGUUCUGAAGGUUUAAAUAGAAAGAUAUCAAAAUAAAAGAUAAUUGUUGAGAAAGAUGAAUAGGGGGAGAAAAAAACCCCAUCAGCACGGAGGAACUCUUGUCUAAUUUCUCACCCACGCAGAGCACAGCGAUAUUAGUGCCUUCAACUCUGGUUCGUAAAAGCUUUCAUGGCUUUAUUAGCAGCUCCCUGAACAGCUUGUCCUUUUAAUAAGCCAAGGCCUCCAGAUAGCAGAUCUGCCCAUGGGAGAUCCCAUCAGGACGUGGUUAAUCCAGGCAGAAAUAGCACAAAGCAUCACCACACUCACCUGAGGAAGGAAGCCCCCGUCUGAGGCAGGAAAAGGUUAAAAGCCACCCCAAAAUGCAGAGGGAGAGGGCAGGGAGGGAGAGCUGAACCUCCUCGGUGGGUUAAGCGGUGCUGCCGGGUGUCCUCACCUUCCCCACCAGCCCUGCUCUCCACAGCCGCUGGCACUGGCCAUGGAGGCCUUUAAUUAUCCAAACUGCUGCCCCUCACAAAAUUAAAUGCUGCUGAGGAUGACUCAGUGUUUAAUGGACUGGCUGCUCCUCACGCCGGGAGAGCCAAGCGGGUGCGAGCGGGGGCAUAAAUCACCCGGAGUGACACCGCUCACGGGCGGUGACCCCGGGCUUGGAGCAGCCACUGCUGGGUUUAAACACUGCUGUUUUCAUCAGGAAAACCCCUGGGGGAACUCCUGGGAGCAGCUCCACCCGGGCUGGAGUGACCCUUCCCCAGCCACCACCACGUGGAUGUGCUCGAUUUAGAAAUCCCAGGGAUUCACCACGCUGGCUGCGCUGGGUUCUCCGUUCCCGGGGUUUAGAUGCCGUGGUUUCCUUUGGAAAGGUCUCGGCAAUGGUCAGAUGUGGUUUAGAAGGCAAACAGGUGCCAGAGGAUGUGAUAGAAAGCUUGAUAUAAAGCUUGAGCCGCUGCUCAGCCGCCCGGGGCCAGCCCAAGCCAGCAUGGCAAGAAGCAGCUCUGUUAAUAGCCUCGUUAGUCUCACCAAGAUGCUGAGCCUUUGGCUUCCAGCAGAUAAUUAAUGACGUGCUCAUGAAUUAGGAAACCCUGGACCUCUACCAGCAUCUCUGCUCUUGGUUCAGAGCUGGAGCAAAGCGAUGCCUGGAGGAGCAGCACGAAGAAAUGGGAAUGGCCAGCAGGGACUGGCAGGUUCUUUAAUGGCAAGACCAGCUUUUCUCCAGGUGCCCAACACCUGGAGCUGGAAAACAGGAAAAAUUUCGCCAUGGAAAAUGCUGUCAAGGCUGUUUUGGGCAGUGAUGGAAGCACCAUUCCUGCAGGGAUUUAAAACAUCUAAAGGUGGUGCUUGAGGACAUGGCUUAGUGGUGGCCUUGGCAGCAGCCAGAGCACGAUCUUGGAAGUCUUUUCCAUUUGAAGGAUUCUGUGUCAACACAAGAGUCCCUAAUGCUGGAGCUGCCCCACCAGCAAGAAAGGCACACAUAAGAAAUCCUAAUAAGGCCCCACGGUGCCUCAUUUGAAUACAAUUUACUGUCACUAAUGAUGCUGAUGGUUAUUUCCCCAAGCUAGGAAGUAUUUGGCCCCAAAAUGGGCUCCUGGAAGCAAUUUCAGACGGCAGUCUGUAAUGCUGGAGCUGAUGGAAGCAAUUUGCAACCCAUUAGCAGAGAUCGGCUGUGAAGAUAUUUUACACAUCACUCAGCCCAGGUUUGAGGGGGGAUGGAAUUUUUAUCCCCCUCUCCUUUGGAAUUUUUGUCCUGGGUGGGGUGAACACCAUCCUGCCCCAGCAGCCUUGCCACGUGCCAAUGGUGACUUCUGAAUGAAAUCUCUUAAAUACACAAAUACAGUCCGGGAGUGCAGGGCCAGGCACCCCCAGAGCCCCUCGCUCCAGUGGUGCCCAGCACCUCCAGCACUCACAGGAAUAAUUGACCAUUAUUAUUAAUUAAUUUGCCGCCUGGACAGCAAUGGAUGCAGGUAAAGAAGCUUUUUGCCAGCCAGGGCUGCCUCCAUGGAGGGAGCAAUAGCAGGGCACAAGCCCAAAAAACAUGGAAAAGCAUCACUUAUCCCUGGGGAUGCUCUUCCAAGAAGCAGGAUGGGAGCUGGUUUCUGUAACUGGGGUGUGGUGGUGGGGCAGGGAAGGUGAGAAAAGAGCCCCAGGCCUCGAGUUAUCCCGUGGCCCAAGCUCCCCAGGUGUUCCUUGGAUCCUGCCUGUCUGCUGGAGCCUGUGCUGGGAGCCUCAGCUCUGCAGCACCUUCCCUUAAUUACUUUUUCCAUUCUAAUUAGAUCUGAGGACGCGCUGAGGGAAGCCCUGGUUACUGAAUCCGUGCUCUGAGCACCCAGGAGGACUCACAGCCCACCACCCCUCACUAACCCACCCCUUUCAGCCUUUUUGUCUUGCAGUUGUCACCUGGGGCUGGUACCUCCCCACCCAUCCCACAGCCCUCGGCUGGUUCCGCUGUCUCUCCCAGCAGGAAUUAACACAACCCUCACGUGGCUUCCCCAAAAAAUAACACGGAAACGCUCCCAGUCCCCACGCUCCACUCAUUCCAAGGAUGCAGCUGCAUUCUCUCUGGAUGAGGGCCAGCGGUGAGGAAGUUUCCUCUGGCUGCUUUCCUCCUCCCCGGCUCCUGUAGGAAAAGGUUCUGGGGUGCCUGGGGCUCCAACAGCUCCGUGAGACCCCCAGGAAAUGUUCUCCAUCCAGGGCAACAGCUGAGCCUCUUCCCUGGGGUUUUUUUGUGCACUAGAAAUCAAGGAUUCCCAAAAACCUCCUCGUGCUCAUCUGCUCCAUCCUGAGACCUCCUCCCUCCCUGCCCACCCACGCUGAAAGGGGAUUGACCGUCGAUAAAACCACUGCAGAGGGUGACUUCACAUCUGGAAGAAAAGAAAGAGGGAGGGAACAACCACUUCCUAAAUGUCCGAAAUGUCCGAAAUGUCCUAAAUGUCCUAAAUGUCCUAAAUGCCCUAAAUGUCCUAAAGGCAGCUCAUCCUUCCCCGGGCUCCCUCCAGGAGCGCUGAUGGAGGGACAGCUGUCAGCAGCGGUGCCGACUGCAGGACGGAGCGGGGAGGGAAAGGCAGAGCUGGUGCCUGUGGGAAUGUUCGUGCUGCUCUCCCGACCUCGCUGCCACAUCCCAAAAUACUGGCGGGGCUGUCCCCGAGCCCAGCAAGGGGGGUGCUGGCUCAGGGGGUGUCCCUGUCCCCCAGCCCGGGUGCUCCCGAGCUGUAAAACCCAGAGCUCCUGCUCGGGCAGGGCAGAGGAUGCUCUGGAAAAAAGACGGAACCAAAUGUGCCCAAGCCGUGGGAUUUUGGGGACAGGGCAGGUGUGCCUCACCCUGCUGUGUCCCCAAGUGCCCAGGCUCCCGUUUGCCGCGGUUCAGGUGGGGACAGCGCGCUGGGAAGGCCCCUC